UACGUAUGGUGCAAGCGUUAUCCGGAAUGACUGGGUGUAAAGGGAGCGUAGACGGUUGUACAAGUCUGAUGUGAAAGCCCACGGCUCAACUGUGGGAGUGCAUUGGAAACUGUAGAACUAGAGUAUCGGAGAGGCGAGUGGAAUUCCUAGUGUAGCGGUGAAAUGCGUAGAUAUUAGGAGGAACACCAGUGGCGAAGGCGGCUUGCUGGACGAAAACUGACGUUGAGGCUCGAAAGCGUGGGGAGCAAACAGG
rnacentral:rRNA from 1 species